rnacentral:rRNA from 1 species
UACAGAGGUCUCAAGCGUUGUUCGGAUUCAUUGGGCGUAAAGGGCGCGUAGGCGGCCGAUCAAGUCGGGGGUGAAAGCCUGUGGCUCAACCACAGAAUGGCCUUCGAUACUGGUUGGCUCGAGACCGGAAGAGGUGAGUGGAACUGCGAGUGUAGAGGUGAAAUUCGUAGAUAUUCGCAAGAACACCAGUGGCGAAGGCGGCUCACUGGUCCGGUUCUGACGCUGAGGCGCGAAAGCGUGGGGAGCAAACAGG